rnacentral:rRNA from 1 species
CCUACGGGUGGCAGCAGUGAGGAAUAUUGGUCAAUGGACGAGAGUCUGAACCAGCCAAGUAGCGUGAAGGAUGACGGCCCUAUGGGUUGUAAACUUCUUUUAUACGGGAAUAAAAUCAUCCACGUGUGGGAGUCUGUAGGUACCGUACGAAUAAGGAUCGGCUAACUCCGUGCCAGCAGCCGCGGUAAUACGGAGGAUCCGAGCGUUAUCCGGAUUUAUUGGGUUUAAAGGGAGCGUAGGGGGUUUGUUAAGUCAGUUGGGAAAGUCCGCGGCUCAACCUAGGAAUUGCAGUUGAAACUGGACGUCUUGAGUGCAGGAGAGGUAGGCGGAAUUCGUGGUGUAGCGGUGAAAUGCUUAGAUAUCAUGAAGAACACCGAUUGCGAAGGCAGCUUACUGGGCUGCAACUGACGCUGAGGCUCGAAAGUGUGGGUAUCAAACAGGAUUAGAUACCCUAGUAGUC